UACGUAGGGUGCGAGCGUUAAUCGGAAUUACUGGGCGUAAAGUGUGCGCAGGCGGCUUCGCAAGUCGAGUGUGAAAUCCCCGAGCUUAACUUGGGAAUUGCGCUCGAAACUACGGAGCUGGAGUGUGGCAGAGGAAGGUGGAAUUCCACGUGUAGCGGUGAAAUGCGUAGAGAUGUGGAGGAACACCUGUGGCGAAGGCGCCUUGCUGGCCGAUUUCUGACGCUGAGGCGCGAAAGCGUGGGGAGCGAACAGG
rnacentral:rRNA from 1 species